rnacentral:rRNA from 1 species
GACGAACGCUGGCGGCGUGCCUAAUACAUGCAAGUCGAGCGAGCUUGCCUAGAUGAAUUUGGUGCUUGCGCCAAAUGAAACUAGAUACAAGCGAGCGGCGGACGGGUGAGUAACACGUGGGUAACCUGCCCAAGAGACUGGGAUAACACCUGGAAACAGAUGCUAAUACCGGAUAACAACACUAGACGCAUGUCUAGAGUUUAAAAGAUGGUUCUGCUAUCACUCUUGGAUGGACCUGCGGUGCAUUAGCUAGUUGGUAAGGUAACGGCUUACCAAGGCAAUGAUGCAUAGCCGAGUUGAGAGACUGAUCGGCCGCAUUGGGACUGAGACACGGCCCAAACUCCUACGGGAGGCAGCAGUAGGGAAUCUUCCACAAUGGACGCAAGUCUGAUGGAGCAACGCCGCGUGAGUGAAGAAGGGUUUCGGCUCGUAAAGCUCUGUUGGUAGUGAAGAAAGAUAGAGGUAGUAACUGGCCUUUAUUUGACGGUAAUUACUUAGAAAGUCACGGCUAACUACGUGCCAGCAGCCGCGGUAAUACUUAGGUGGCAAGCGUUGUCCGGAUUAUUGGGCGCAAAGCGAGUGCAGGCGGUUCAAUAAGUCUGAUGUGAAAGCCUUCGGCUCAUUUGGAGAAUUGUAUCAGAAACUGUUGAACUUGUGUGAGAAAAAUAGAGUGGAUCUUCCUUGUUGUAGUGUUGUUAUGUUUAGACAUUG